UACGUAGGGUGCGAGCGUUAAUCGGAAUUACUGGGCGUAAAGGGUGCGUAGGUGGUUUGUUAAGUCUGCUGUGAAAUCCCCGGGCUCAACCUGGGAAUGGCAGUGGAUACUGGCAAGCUAGAGUGCGGUAGAGGGUAGUGGAAUUCCCGGUGUAGCAGUGAAAUGCGUAGAGAUCGGGAGGAACACCAGUGGCGAAGGCGGCUACCUGGACCAGCACUGACACUGAAGCACGAAAGCGUGGGGAGCAAACAGG
rnacentral:rRNA from 1 species